rnacentral:tRNA from 1 species
GCCGUUAUAGCUCAGUUGAUAGAGCAGCUGCCUUGUAAGCAGCGAGUCGCCGGUUUGAGCCCGGCUAACGGAUCCA